rnacentral:lncRNA from 1 species
CAGGUCCACUUAUACCUCACUGGCGUACCGGAUGAGUCCACUUAAUCCCUACCAGCGUCCCAGAUAGGUCCACUUAUACCUCACCGGCGAACCGGAUGAGUCCACUUGUAUACUUAAAUUAUUUCUAAAUCUCUUUAAACAUUCGAAAGCAGCAAUAUCAUGUACUCAACAUAUCACUGAAAUCAUUAAUAUGAAUUUUACUUAAACCAUUAAUAACAGUCACUCUCUAUAACAUUUCAAAAUAACCAAUCAAAUAUUUUGGGCUCAAAUUUAGAAAGGUAGCAGUUUGUAAAGGCAUUCUAGCAUAAUUGCCAAUUUAAUAUGUAUAGAAAAACUCUUAUAAAAAUUCAAGAAUACGGAAUUAUC